UCCCUGGCAGUUCAGUGGCUAGAAUUCCACUCUUCCAUUGUGGGGGGGUCACAGGUUCGAUCCCUGGUCAGGGAA
rnacentral:tRNA from 1 species